GGCUGAUGUCUCAAACGCCACCGACCAGUCACUACUUUCUGUCUCACACUUGAUACCACUGCCCUCCACUGCAAAUAAGGUUUCUGCUUCAAAUGUGGACAUGACAUGGCUGAUGUCUCAAGCGCCACCGACCAGUCACUACUUCCUGUCUCACACUUGGUACCACUGCAAAUAAGAAUGAGUAGAAAAGCCCAGACACAAAUGGACGUAGGAGAAGUGAAUGCGGUUGAGAAACACCUGAUGAAGUUCAUCAGAACAUUCAUGGUUCUAGGCAAGAGCGACUGCAUGGGUUUUUACAAACGGAAACACUGGCAUUAAAGGAUCGAACAUGGGCGGAUGUCAAAAACUAUGUCAGAAACAGGAUCACUACCCUAAAAAGACAGACAAGCCUCUAAGUAAGGACUUUGCUAUCUCUGCUGUCUCCCAUGUUCUGUCAUGGCAGGCCGCCGUGCAGGCAGGAAGGAGGACCCCAAAUAGCAGACUCGGGACAGGUGUAAUUCACUCACUCGCUUUAUUUACCCCAAUCUGACAGACAUUAACAUGAGCUCUCCCUGGCAUACACUUAACGGAGAGGCGUGAAACUAACUAGACUUGACUUGUGCAAACAGACGUACAUGCAGGACAGCAGAGAACAACCAUCAAUGACGCGACAAAGAACAAAGCAAACCCAGGGGCUUAAAUACAUACAGAAGGCAAUGGUGGGUAACAAGAAACAGCUGGGGAACA